ACAACAUACCCAAGUGGAGAAACUAAUCUCAGAGCUUGAAUACUAUCUUUCUGAAAUAAGAUAGGCAGAUAAGAAUAGAGAAAAAAGAAAGAAAAGGAAUGAACAAAACCUCUGAGAAACACGAAAUUAUGUAAAGGGACCAACCUAUGACUAAUUGGGGUAAC